rnacentral:tRNA from 1 species
GGCACAGUGGCCGAGUGGUUAAGGCGGCAGACUUGAACAGGCCUCUAAGAGGUUCUAGAUAUCUGCUACGUUCGCGUUCGCAAGUUCGAAUCUUGUCUGUGUCG